rnacentral:lncRNA from 1 species
CGCAGCGCGAUGGUUCUGUCUGCGGGCCAGGCCCCAACCCCCUCGCGGCGGUUCGAGUUUCUGAGCCCGAAGGACGCGGCCUCGGCCAAUCCCAGGGCUCCAGGGCGCGUUUAAAAUGCAGGUCUGCGCGACGGCUCCGGCUCCCUUCUGGGGACACCAGAGUUCGGCGCAGUCAGAGACGCGACGAACAAUAGGGCUCGGACGCGGGGUCGGGCUGGGCGCUCUUUGUCCCUCUCCCCGCCGCCAGACCCCUCCGCCCCUCUCCACCGGAGUCCCCGCCCGGGCGCGGCCACGCUGCGCUUCCCCUCCUGGUCCGGGACUGCACAUCCGGCUCCCGCGCCGGGAGCCCGGCCUGGCGAGCCGGGCUGGAGCGAGCUCGAUGGGGCGCGGGCGCUGGGGACCUGCCCCUUGCCCGGCGCGGGCACAGAGCUCCGCUGCACCGCCACAUCCCCGGGAUCGGAGGAGAAUCAGAUCCGCGGGGCGCAAACCCCUAGGUCCCGGGCGCCCGAGCUCCCCACACACUGGCAGCCGUGGUGGGCACCGGGUCCCCCCCACGGCCAGUAAGUGUCGUUAGCCUGGCGUCCCCAAAGCGCAUUCGCGCGUGUGCCGCGAGCUGGCCGAGGAGCGCAAGCAAAGGAAAACCCGCGCGCGCGACUGCGAGCUGCCCACGGCCCGAAGCGCGCGCCCGCGCCCGCGCCCGCGCGGCCGCUGAUAUCCCCCGCUGGCAAUUGCUCGACCCUUCUUCGAACAACGGCGUGCCUGGCGCCUGCUCCAGCCUGGGGCCGAAGCGGACACGACCCGGCAAGAGGCCACUGGCCUCUGGGGGGUACUUAGCGUUCUGGAAGGAGGAGGGGAGGAGAUAAAUAAACAAACUAGACAAUCUUGAGACCGGCCUAAGUGCUGUGCAGGGAAUUGAGACAGGCCGCUGUCACAGAAAGUGAUGGUCAGCUGCCUUGAGUCUCUGGUUAGGGUGGGACUCGGAGCAGGGACCUUAGAUGUGAGCCCCGAGUACAAAGGUAAGGGGGAAGGGCAUUCCUGUAGAGGAGCAGCUAGAGGCCCUAGCUUGGCCACUGGGAGGAAGGCCAGCCGCCUGGGCGAGUCAGAUGCUGGGUUAGCAGGGAAGCAGCAUGACCUGGCUCCCCUUUCACCCAAAUGUGGAUUAAGGCUGGGGGCCCACGAAGAGGUCCUGAUUCAGUGUCUCAUGCCCUGCUCCUGGAGGGCACUCGGGAGAGGGUGGUGGAUGCAAAUAGGAGUCGCUCCUUGGAGGCACACGGAGGCUGCCCAGGGAGCCCCUCUCCCCUCAGCCACAGCCCCAGGUGAUGCCUGUGGCCUGCAUCUCUGUCCUCCGGAUGAAGGCUCCUCCAGACAAGGUCUGUUCACCCCAUCUACAGACUGCAGACCAAGAGACCCCCCGGGCUUGCUAAUAUCCCCUGGUACUGCCAAGAUGAGAUAUUAGUGCUGGGGUUACCAGGGGCUGAAGGAGGAUCCUGCUCCCCCCAGCUGGACAGAUGUGCAGACGAGAGGCCCAGCGCUGACCUGGAUCCUGAAGCAAGAGGGACAUCCCAGAUGGGGUCCUCCCUGAGGGUGCCCGGACCUCAGGUCCCACCAGAGGUACUUCGAUCCCCAGGACACUCGUGGUCAGGCACAACCUAGAUCUCGGAUGUCAGGUGGCACUGCUUUUUCAACCCCUUGGUCAUGAGGAGCUGUACUCUGGCAUGGAAAUGGUAAAACCAAAUGAUGGAGCACCAACACAGUGAUUCUCAAGAUGCCCGGGAAAGUGUCUGUGGGUCUUAACCACCCCAAAUCUCCUGGGAUGUGUGGGUCUGUUUAGAGAGGUAGCUGGGGCUAAGAACCAGUACGCAAUCCACAGCAGCUGGAAUGCGCCGCAGUGUGGGAUCGCACCAGGGAGGCAGCCUCACAACCCCACUGAGCAGGCAGAUGGUCCUGCCACAGCGGGGGACGGGCCUCUCUCAUCCUCUCUGGCCUCGCCCUGAGCUCAGACCCCUGACUCGGCUCCAGUUGGUAUUUACCCAGGGAAUGUUUGGCCCCUCCAUGCAAUGCAUGACCAAGUCUGAGUCCCUCACUUCCAAGUUGAGGAAACUGAGGCCCAGAAACAAAUGCUUGCCCAUGGUCACUUUCCUUUAUCGCUCUACCAAACAGAGAGCGUGACAGGGUAACAUGUAACACAUGGCGGGCAGCGGGUACCACAGCACGCACACACAGGACUCAUCAUGGUGGGAACUUGUGGGGCUCCGAGGGUGGUGGCCUGAGGGACACACAUCCUGAAGGCUGAGCGGUUGUUGGGCAGAUGGCGGAGGAGGAGACAGCACGAGGAAGGCCAGGGCUGAGCAAUGGUGAAUUCAUGAGAAGCACAGGUAGGAGUCUGAGAGGUAACCACAGCAACCACAAUGAUGACCAACCCCGUCCCACUCUGCACCUGGAUUCUAAAGCAGCCCUCACUGCAGUGCCGUAGCAACCCCACGAGGAGGGGCCACCCGCCCUUCUGGAUCGGACAUGGGUUCCUAUUGGUCUCCACAAAGCCCAAAUCAAUAAGUGUGGGUACAGGUACUUGUGGAUGCCCAAGGACUCUGGUUUGGCCGGAGGAGAGUUUUGUGAAAAAAUAAAUAAAGCACCGUGUCGACUGCUCGCUUCCUGGGACUUGAUUAGUUGGUCUCGGUACGCCUCCUCUCCCAAAGCGUCCCCAUCCUCUGCACCAGGACAGUAGGGUGUUUGCACCCACUUCCCAGAGGCCGACACAGAGGCCCAGCGAGACAAGGGCCACCCAGAAAACCCGGGGACUGGCAGACUGGGCUGGCCCUUCCUUUGAGGGUCUGUGGAAUCCCUAGGGCAGAGUUCAGUAAUCAGAUGUCCUCGCUCCUGCAUUUGCAGGUGGGGAUGCUGUGUUGAAGCUGGGACCAGCGGAGUGCUCGGGCGGUGGCCCAGGUCCUGGGGGGUGUUCUCGUUUGUGCACCCUGUGAACCAGCGAUUCACAGGGCGAGCCUACAGCCUCUGCUUUUCUGCAAGUGGUGGUGAAGCUGAAGCCCACAGGACCUCUCCCCAGCUGUCCUAACUCCUCAAGUUUAACCAGGCCACAGCGAGCCAGGGCAGGGCUGAGUGCCGAGGAGAGACCUGGCCAGAUGUAGAGCUGAGAAUGGCAGUGUCAGGCCCGGAAGCCAGCACCAAGCGGGCACAGCCUCUGCACCCAUCACACAGCCGUUAUCCCAGAGUCGUCCAGGGUGGGAGGCUCAACACGCCAGGGAAACUGAGUCAUGGGAGUUCUGCAGCACAAGCUGUCUCCUUGAUGCCUUUAAAACCAUUAUUCAUAUGAUGCAGGAAUUUGUGUUACAAAGAUCAGCAAUAAAGCAGGUAGUAGGGAGCCCAUCCCAGCUGGAGGAAUCUGCCUCAGCUUUGGGGGCCCUCUCCACCCAUCCUGGCUCCUGCUCCAGCCCUCCCGGAGCCCAUGGACACCAGAAUCUCCAGGAUCUGUGUUGCUUGCUCCCGUGUCUCCCCC